rnacentral:rRNA from 1 species
AUUGAACGCUGGCGGCAUGCCUUACACAUGCAAGUCGAACGGCAGCACGGGUGCUUGCACCUGGUGGCGAGUGGCGAACGGGUGAGUAAUACAUCGGAACAUGUCCUGUAGUGGGGGAUAGCCCGGCGAAAGCCGGAUUAAUACCGCAUACGAUCUACGGAUGAAUGCGGGGGACCUUCGGGCCUCGCGCUAUAGGGUUGGCCGAUGGCUGAUUAGCUAGUUGGUGGGGUAAAGGCCUACCAAGGCGACGAUCAGUAGCUGGUCUGAGAGGACGACCAGCCACACUAGGACUGAGACACGGCCCAGACUCAUACGGGAGGCAGCAGUGGGGAAUUUUGGACAAUGGGCGAAAGCCUGAUCCAGCAAUGCCGCGUGUGUGAAGAAGGCCUUCGGGUUGUAAAGCACUUUUGUCCGGAAAGAAAUCCUUGGCCCUAAUACGGUCGGGGGAUGACGGUACCGGAAGAAUAAGCACCGGCUAACUACGUG